CUGCUAUCGGAUUGAUACUAAGCCAUGCGAGUCUUUGUAGUAAUACAAGGCAGACGGCUCAGUAACACGUAGUCAACCUACCCUAUGGACAAGAAUAAUCUCGGGAAACUGGGCAUAAUUCUUGAUAGAUCAUAAUGCCUGGAAUGGUUUAUGGUUAAAAUGAUUCGUCGCCAUAGGAUGGGACUGCGGCCUAUCAGCUUGUUGGUGAGGUAAUGGCCCACCAAGGCGAUUACAGGUACGGGCUCUGAGAGGAGAAGCCCGGAGAUGGAUUCUGAGACACGAAUCCAGACCCUACGGGGUGCAGCAGGCGCGAAAACUUGGCAAUGCGAGAAAUCGUGACCAGGGAACUCCAAGUGGCUGGGGUAAGACCCAGUCUUUUCUUGACUCCUCAAAGGUCUUGGAAUAAGAGGUGGGUAAGGACGGUGCCAGCCGCCGCGGUAAUACCGGCGCCUCAAGUGGUAGUCGAUUUUAUUGGGCCUAAAACGUCCGUAGCCUGUUUGGUACAUUCGUGGGUAAAUCAACCAGCUCAACUGGUUGAAUUCUGCGAGCACGGCCAGACUUGGGACCGGGAGAGGUGUGGGGUACGCUCAGGGUAGGGGUAAAAUCCUGUCAUCCUGGGCGGACCACCUGUUGCGAAGGCGCCACACUAGAACGGAUCCGACGGUCAGGGACGAAGCCUAGGGGCACGAACCGGAUUAGAUACCCGGGUAGUCCUAGGUGUAAACGCUGUGGACUUGGUGUUGGGGAUUCUCAGAGGAUUCUCAGUGCCGAAGCGAAGGUGAUAAGUCCACUGCCUGGGGAGUACGGUCGCAAGGCUGAAACUUAAAGGAAUUGGCGGGGGAGCACCGCAACCUGAGGA
rnacentral:rRNA from 1 species